rnacentral:rRNA from 1 species
GUGCCUUCGGGAACUGUGAGACAGGUGCUGCAUGGCUGUCGUCAGCUCGUGUUGUGAAAUGUUGGGUUAAGUCCCGCAACGAGCGCAACCCUUAUCCUUUGUUGCCAGCGGUUAGGCCGGGAACUCAAAGGAGACUGCCAGUGAUAAACUGGAGGAAGGUGGGGGAUGACGUCAAGUCAUCAUGGCCCUUACGACCAGGGCUACACACGUGCUACAAUGGCAUAUACAAAGAGAAGCGACCUCGCGAGAGCAAGCGGACC